UGAUCUCAGGGUCCUGGGAUCGAAUCCCGCAUCAGGCUCUCUGCUCAGCAGGAAGCCUGCUUCCCGCCUUCUCUCUCUGCUUGCCUCUUUGCCUACUUGUGAUCUCUAUCAAACAAAUAAAUAAAAUCUUAAAAAAAAAAAAAGAAGACUAGAUGGGAGUUUGACAGUUAGAGACCGAGUGUGUCUGGGUGCGGUGCCAACUUUUAGUCUCUUGUCUCCCUUCUGAAGGCACUUCCAGAGGGGACUGAUGACGACCCUGAGGUCCUUUGGAGGAGCUUUCUUCAGGCAGAGGAGGGAGAUUGAUGUCUCCCCUGCACCUCCUAUUUUCCAGCACCUUCGGCCCAAACUUCUAGGGGCUGCCUGCAUCCCUCAGCUUCCUACGUCUUCAAAGCCAGCAAUGUUGCAUGCCUGACCAUUCUUCCAUAAUCACAUCUGUCCACAACCUAGAAUUCUCAGCUUUAAGGAUUAGUAUAUGAUAACAUUGGGCCCACCUGGAUAAUCUGGGGUAAUCUCCCCAUCUCAAAAUCUUUAACCUGAAUGAUACCUGCAAAAUCCCUUUUGUCCUGUAAUCUGUUCACAGGUUCUGGGAUUAGGAUGUGGGCCUCAUGGGGAGAAGGCAUUAUUCUGCCUGUAGUAUGCACCUCUGUGUAUAAGAAAUAUUAAUUUAAACAGGCUAUCUGUAUCUUUCAUUUGUUUCGAUUUUUAUUGGUGUGUCUAUAUUUAUUUAAAAUAAGUGAAGAAAAAAUUUAAAGGUCUUUUUUCCCAUUUAUUUAUUUUUUAUUAUGUUCUGUUAGUCACUGUACAGUACAUCAUUCAUUUUUGAUGUAGUGUUCUAUGAUUCAUUGUUUGCCUG
rnacentral:lncRNA from 1 species